AGUAUAUAUAAAUGUGUGUGUGUGUGUGUCUGUGUGUAUACACACGCACACAUAUAAAUACAUACACACACACACACACACACACACACACAUAUAUAUUUAUUAU